CCUACGGGAGACAGCAGUAGGGAAUAUUCCACAAUGAGGGAAACCUUGAUGCAGCGACGCCGCGUGCGCGAUGAAGUUCUUCGGUAUGUAAAGCUCUAUCAGCAGGGAAGAACAUUACGGUACCUGAGUAAUAACCCACGGCCAACUCCGUGGCAGCAGCCGCUGUCAAACGAAGGGGGGAAGCGUUAACCGGAUAUACUGGGGGGAAAGGUAGCCGGAACGGGAGUGCAAGGCUGGUGGGAAAGUCGCGGGUUCAAACCCCGGACUGCUCUGGAAACUAUACGGCUGGAGUGAAGGAGAGGUAAGUGGAAUUCCUAGUGUAGCGGUGAAAUGCGUAGAUAUUAGGAAGAACACCAGUGGCGAAGGCAGCUUACUGGACUGAAACUGACGCUGAGGGACGAAAGCGUGGGGAGCAAACAGGAUUAGAUACCCGUGUAGUC
rnacentral:rRNA from 1 species